rnacentral:rRNA from 1 species
AUUGAACGCUGGCGGCAGGCCUAACACAUGCAAGUCGAACGAGUGGCGGACGGGUGAGUAAUGUCUGGGAAACUGCCUGAUGGAGGGGGAUAACUACUGGAAACGGUAGCUAAUACCGCAUACCAUCGGAUGUGCCCAGAUGGGAUUAGUGAGUAGGUGGGGUAACGGCUCACCAAGGCGACGCUCCCUAGCUGGUCUGAGAGGAUUACCAGCCACACUGGAACUGAGGCACGGUCCAGACUACUACGGGAGGCAGCAGUGGGGAAUAUUGCACGAUGGGCGCAAGCCUGAUACAGCCAUGCCGCGUGUAUGAAGAAGGCCUUCGGGUUGUAAAGUACUUUCAGCGGGGAGGCGUUACCCGCAGAAGAAGCACCGGCUAACUCCGUGCCAGCAGCCGCGGUAAUAG